rnacentral:rRNA from 1 species
GCUCAGAACGAACGCUGGCGGCGUGGUUGAUACAUGCAAGUCGAACGGGAAAGAUUCCUUCGGGAAUCGAGUAUAGUGGCGGACGGGUGAGUAACACGUGAUCAACGUACCCUAAGGACUGGGAUAGCCAUCCGAAAGGAUGUGUAAUACCAGAUAAGACCACAGUACCGCAUGGUACAGUGGUAAAAGAAUCCACCUUGGGAGCGGAUCGCGGACUAUCAGCUAGUUGGUGAGGUAACGGCUCACCAAGGCUAUGACGGUUAGCCGGCCUGAGAGGGUGAACGGCCACACUGGAACUGAGACACGGUCCAGACUCCUACGGGAGGCAGCAGUGCUGAAUCAUUCACAAUGAGCGCAAGCUUGAUGAUGCGACGCCGCGUGGAGGAUGAAGGCCUUCGGGUUGUAAACUCCUGUCAGGGAUUAGGAAUUUUGACCAAUCCCAGAGGAAGCACCGGCUAAAUUCGUGCCAGCAGCCGCGGUAAUACGAAUGGUGCGAGCGUUGUUCGGAAUCGCUGGGCAUAAAGGGUGCGUAGGUGGUUAUGUAAGUCAGAUGUGAAAGCCCUCGGCUCAACCGGGGAAUUGCAUCUGAUACUGCAUAACUUGAGUUUAUGAGGGGUGAGCGGAAUUCCAGGUGUAGCGGUGAAAUGCGUAGAUAUCUGGGAGAACGCCAACGGCGAAGGCAGCUCACUGGCGUAAAACUGACACUGAGGCACGAAAGCGUGGGGAGCAAACCACGAUUAGAUACCCUGGUAGUCCAUGCUGUAAACCGAUGGAUACUUUGUGGAGGGGGUUUGACGCCCUCUCUGCCGGAGCAAAUGCGUUAAGUAUCCCGCCUGGGGAGUAUGGUCGACAGGCUUAAACUCAAAGGAAUUGACCGGGGCUCACACAAGCGGUGGAGGAUGUUGUUUAUUUCGAAGCAACGCGAAGAACCCUUCCCGGGACUUGAAUGUUCGUUCCAAUCCUGAACGGUGCGAAUCUGCGUCAAACCAGAAGCUAAAACAGGUGCUGCAUGGCCGUUGUCAGCUCGUGUCGUGAGAUGUUGGGUUAAAGUCCCAUAACGAACGAAACCCCUAUCGUCUGUUGCUACCAGUUUAAUGCUGGGCACUCUGGCGAGACUGCCGGUGUUAAACCGGAGGAAGGUGGGGACGACGUCAAGUCAUCAUGGUCCUUACGUCCGGGGCUACAAACGUCCUACAAUGGCUGGUACAAAGAGAAGCAAUACCGCGAGGUGGAGCAAAUCUCUAAAGCCAGCCCUAGUUCAGAUUGGAGGCUGAAAUUCGCCUCCAUGAAGCCGGAAUCGCUAGUAACCGGAGAUCAGCCAUGCUCCGGUGAAUAUGUUCCUGAGCAUUGUACACACCGCCCGUCAAGCCACCCAAGUUGAAGCACCCGAAGU